rnacentral:rRNA from 1 species
UACAGAGGGUGCGAGCGUUGUCCGGAAUCACUGGGCGUAAAGGGCGCGUAGGCGGCCUGAUAAGUAGGGGGUGAAAUCUUGCGGCUCAACCGCAAGGCUGCCUUCUAAACUGUCAGGCUGGAGCACGGUAGAGGCAGAUGGAAUUCCCGGUGUAGCGGUGGAAUGCGUAGAGAUCGGGAAGAACACCAGUGGCGAAGGCGGGUUGCUGGGCUGACACUGACGCUGAGGCGCGAAAGCUAGGGGAGCGAACGGG